CCAAAGGGGAGGGCCAGCCCGGGGUUCUUCUGACAGCCGGAUUCUCCUAACUGCACUCACCCUGGGGACUAUACGAUAGGCAAUUCUGGCCUCCAGAGAGGAUGGUCUCCCACCUGGCUGGGCCCAGCACCCAGCAAAGAGGCAGAGCUGGCUCAGAAGGAAAACAUCACUGGUAGACACCUGGGUGCUCAUGCAAAACCCUGAAUCUCCUAUAGUGAGCUCCUUUGCCCGACCCCACCCCCACGCUGGAUGGAAUUAAAAUCAAACUGGGGGUGAACUGGGCGGUGGGGGGUAAGGCAACCCCAAGAGGAGCCAUCCCAUCUCGGGCAGAAACAAAGCGGAGGGGUAAGGAGAAAACGUGGAGGCAGAGCUUUCACG
rnacentral:lncRNA from 1 species